UAUACUCACAAUCAUGUUCUUACAUACUUUUGGUUGUUGUGCUUGCAGAAGGACAUACAAAAUUGGAGGUUGUGAUUUAAGCAGCACUGCUCCUCCUUGUACCAGGUGGAUUGAAAUGAUGGCUCUUGGAUUAGUAAUAUGUAAUUCAAGGAUGGUAGCUUGCUUAGAAUCUUCGUUAGCUUGGGUACUAGUAGUGUUUUUUUGUUUCAGUAAAAACUAGUGGUCUCUUUUGUAA